CCUACGGGACGCAGCAGUGGGGAAUAUUGCGCAAUGGGGGCAACCCUGACGCAGCAACGCCGCGUGCGGGAUGAAGGCUUUCGGGUUGUAAACCGCUUUCAGCAGGGAUGACAUCGACAGUACCUGCAGAAGAAGCCCCGGCUAACUACGUGCCAGCAGCCGCGGUAAUACGUAGGGGGCGAGCGUUAUCCGGAUUCAUUGGGCGUAAAGCGCGCGCAGGCGGGCUUGCAAGCGGGGCCUUUAAUCUUGGGGCUUAACCUCAAGUCGGGUUCCGAACUGCAAGCCUCGAGUGUGGUAGGGGAAGG
rnacentral:rRNA from 1 species